GGGGGAGGCAAGGGUGUCUUGUUGGAGGUCCCUGUGUACCUGAGGCCUUCUAAGGGCUUCUUCAAGCAGUGACCACUGACAAAGCUAUAGCAGAUCUGGGAGAACUCCGUGCCCAGAACCAACUGAAUCCAUCCAGCCUUAGCAAGAAGAUAAUGUAAUCAAGACUAUUCUGUACACGAGAUGUAUUGCUUAACUAAAUACCAUCCAAAACAACCUACGGAUUUUUGAAAGUCACCAGUAUUUGCUGGCAUUCAAGACCGAAGCAGCUGGAUCAAGACAAGGCAGGCUGUGAACUAGGCAUUUCUCUGCCCCUUCACUGUUGCUUGAAAACUUCCAUCAAAGAUUUAUCCAAAAGAAGAAAAAAAAAAAAAGAUUGUGGUUGCUGAAGCAGAAAUUUCUUUUCUGGAUUUUCUUUGAGAAACUCUGAGUUUUAAUUUAAGGAUGAUUUAUUUUCCAUGUUUGAUUUCAGGAAACUAAAACAGAAGGAAAAAAAAAUGUUUCCAUGUGGGAGAAGGCACUAUUUUUUUAAUCUCUUCUCCCUUAAAAAAAAAAGCAUAAAAGUAUGGCAAUAUGGCUCCAAGUAGCUUUUGCAUUGGCUGAAAUUUUCAUUUGAAACAAACAAGCCCAUAAAUGAACAUGCUAUCAAUCAAAUUCUGUGACUUGCCCAAAGCCACAAGGACAAAACAACAAAGGAAAGCACCACAUACUUAAAUCUGAGCACCACACACUGCUCUGGCCACUGGGCCUCGGAGUUUGCAAUUAGCAACAAGGCAAGAUCCACCAGAGAUAAGUGGGCCCAGCUCAGUCACUGACUCUGCUAAGUUUGCCUGAAAGUGGUUAUGUGGGUGGUGCAGAAUUUGUCAAACAAGAUGUUCACAAAGAUCUCCCUGAGCGCAGCCGAGAAAAAAACGAAGACAACCCUACCAUAAAGUGACACAUAAUUCAGCUGAAGUGAAACAUACUGAUGCAACAGCGGAGAAUAACUCAUUCCCCUUAGGCAAAACUCGUCCAAAAAGCUAAUAAUGAAAACUGGAGGACUCCAAACCAUUAUUUCUACUUUCCAGGCCAGCAGCAGGGAUAGCUUAUGUGGUUAGCAGCUGACUCCCGAGUUGUGUUCUUGUUUCCACUGCAGACUCACUGCAUGAUCUUGCAGCAUCACUGCUCAGGCCCUCGGUUUCUUUAUCGGUGUGAUGUGGAUAUAGCUUGAUUGCAGAAUCUUUGAUUGAUACAUGCAAAAUAUUUUGAUCAAAUAUGGAUGGGGCUGGAUGUUGAGGCAGGCACUUUUUUUUUUUUUUCCUGAGGUUUAGCAGAGAGUAAGAGAGGGAGAAGUCCAACAUAUGCGCAUUUAGGGGUGUGAAGGAAAGACAGAGGAGUGAUUGGUGCUGCUGUUCAUAUUCUAGAUAUUGUAAAGUAUUGGGACACCACAGGCUGGCUGGGCUUUGCCGGCAGCAGCUCCUGGAGGAUGGCUUUCCACAAUGCAAAGUGUCACACCAGCACCAGUCAAGGAACCAUGUAGGAUGAAGGCUGCUUGAACUUGCACUCCUGCCAAAAACUAAUUCUUAAGCUACCAAUGUAACAUCGUUAUAUUCUCUGGCCUGACCUCUGCAGCUGUAAAACACUCAGUCCUGGUUAGCCAGAACAGUUUACACUGUGUCAGAGUAUGUCCCCAGAUCGCAUGGGUGCUCCCCUUCGAGGUACUCCUUGAGGACUUCAUCCUGGCAUCUGUUCUCAGCUGCUGGCUUCCGCUCUGAAUUUCCUCAGCUUAGCAUCUCCCUCAGUUUAGUAUAGGGGUAUUGAGUGAAACCCAUGCUUCUGUAUGUUAUCCAGGCAGAGUCUUGAAAUCAUAAGUUAUCACCAAUGUUUCAAGCUUCUGCAAAGGAAAAUGGGAGAACACAUCUAGAUCACCAGCACCUGCGUGGGACACAGAGCUCCGAUUUGCUACUGUCAGUGAUAACAACUUGGAAAGAGGUCAAUGCCUUAACAAUGGCCCAUUUUAACCCUUGCCUUGGUCUGUAGUUUAGAAUUGGAAUACAAAUACAACGCUUUAUUGAACGGUCAUUCAAUUCAUCUGAAGUGACCAAACCAGUUACCAUUGGCUUGUAGGAACACUAUGGACAGUAUUUACGGUGAUUAGCCUGACGAGCUCAGUAAUUGCUUUGCAGUUAAAAUGCUAAAAGCAACGGAGAUAGAUUUUCAAAAGAAGCAUUUCAUCAGAGCUUCCUAAAUAAAAUAAUUGUAGGAAGUAUCUAGACAAUGGA